rnacentral:lncRNA from 1 species
UUGAUUUGGGUCAGAUUGGGUUUCAUGGGUUGUUGGGCUCUUUUACAUAAACCUUUGAUUCGUUCUUUUUCUUUUUUCAAUUUUAAGCCUACACAAACAAUGUUUUCUAGUUGUGGUAAUGAAAAAUUUCCGUUUAUCACAUUUUAAAUUUCAAGUUCGCAAAACGGUCUGCACCAUAUAAAAGCUGCUUGGGUACUGUGUGUGCGUAGGAGAGUGGAAGAACUUCUGCUGGUGCUAGGCUGCUAGCAUCGUUGUCUGUCAUUUGGUAGCAACCCAGAUGUUUGAUGUUUUGUCUGUUUGAGGUCAUGGAGAUUCGAGAGGCUCUUUUGGAGGUUCCAACAUUUAACUAUGGAAACACCUUUCAUAGAAACUUUCAAGAAAAUAUCAUAGGUGGAGCCGCGGGAAAGUGCAAACCUUGCAAUUGACGGCACAGAAAAAUACUAACAGAAACUCAGUAGGUAUUGAAGAAGCUGCGGGCAAAUAUCACACAUUUCAUGGAGGAUCUCUCAAAUUCCCAAACAGCUCCAUCGGGUAAGUUUUCAUUUCUAUCAGUUAUUCGCUCUAAAUUACCGACCGUGAAUGUCCAAAAAUUUAUUUGCUUUGCUAGUUGUAACCCAAAAAUAAUUAAAGCUAUGCCGCGCAUUUUUACUCUUCUUCCUUAAACCAAAACCAAAGUUUCCUCAAUCCUAGACUCGAGCCCUAGAGCUGUAACAAUAGCUCCUUUUUUGUCCCCUUUUUUUUUUUUUUUUUUUUUUUUUUUGUGGAGGGGUUUCUUUUGUCCCCUUUUUUUUUUUUUUUUUUUGUGGAGGGGUUUCUUUUGUCCCCUUUUUUUUUUUUUUUUUUUGGGGGGGGGGGGGGUGUUUAAUAGAGAGUAUUAACAUUAAUAACUCAGUAAAUAUAUUAUUGAAUUAUAUAAUUUCCUGCGCAGCCACUCUGAGGGAACAAUAGAGCAAAAUGAAAAAUCCAUAAACUCAUAUACCUAUUUUGUGCUGAAGUAAUGGUUGUAAGAUCCAUAAGCUUAUAUAUAUUACAAAGCUAGUGCAGAGUUUUGAAUCCUCCACUGUGAAAUAUGUUGUUGUCUGGGAAAUUUCUUAUAUAUUUGUAUCAGAGUCUACUAGGAAGAAUUCCUGCAGUUAAAAUUUAAAUUCAAACAAUGAGAGUCAAUGUCCUUAGCGAGCUAAGAAAGUAGUGAUUGUAACCUCAUUUACAGAACUUGAUCUUUCCUCCCCUGCUCCAAAUGAGUUAGUGUUGCUGCUAGAUGCUACAAAAAUGAAAGCUGGUUUUUUUGGACUAGGAAGAGCUGUUUCACUGCUCAACAUUAGAAUAACUUCAAACAUAGCGGGUCUGUCUAUAGCAUUUUCCUGAACACAUAACAGCCCAAUUUGUAUGCAUCUCAACACUUCAUGAGGAGGAUAUGAUCCCUCCAGUGAUGAAUCAACUAUCUUCAAUACAUCAUCUUUGCUCCAUAACUCCCAUACCUAUAACAUAGAAUGAACAGUUAAUAUAUAAAUUAUAUUACAUUGGGGCUAUUGUUUUUAAAAAUAUUCUUUAACUUACAUGUCCUAUCAAGCAAAAGGAAGAAUCUUCUUGUUUAAAGCCAUUGCUUUUCUUGCCACUUAUAAUUUCCAACAGUAUGACGCCAAAACUAAACACAUCAGAUUUUACCGAAAACUUUCCAAGCACUGCAUACUCUGGUGACAUGUAGCCACUGCAUAAGAAAAAAAUAUUGAAAGUGGACUUUUUUUUUCUUUUGAUCAGCAAAAUAAAGUAAUUUUAUUAGAAAUCCAGGAAAAAUUUAUCAAACUAACUGGACUUAAUACCUAUUGCAAUUCCUUAAUGGUAAUCAAGCAUUGUAGUAUCUUGUACUUACUAGGUUCCAACUACUCUAUUCGUCUUCUCUUGAAUUUGAUCAGCUCUGAGUACCCUAGCCAUGCCAAAAUCUGAAAUUUUUGGGUUCAUCUGAGCAUCUAAUAGAAUGUUGCUGCUUUUUAAAUCUCUAUGGAUAAUUCUCAACCUGGAGUCUUGGUGAAGAUAUAAGAUUCCUCUACCAAUCCCAGUUAUAAUAUUGAACCGUUUCUUCCAAUCUAGGACUGACCUUCUUGUUUGAUCUACAACAAGAUUUUCAAUUUUAUCAUUGUAACUUGUAAUAUAUACACCUGAAUCAUAUUUCUAUGAAAUAUUUACAAUAAGAGAACCAAUUCAAUGCUGACCAAUUGAUGUACUAAAAGACUUACCAAAAAGAAAUGAAUCCAAGCUUUUGUUUGGCAUAUAUUCAUAAAUUAACAUUUGUCGUUCUCCCUCAAUACAGCACCCAAGAAGUUUCACAAGAUUCCUAUGUUGAAGCUUUGCAAUCAACAUGACUUCAUUUUUAAAUUCUUCUAUGCCUUGACCUGAACUUUUGGAUAGCCUUUUUACAGCAAGUUCUUGUCCAUUAGUUAGCUGACCCUGAAUCAUGUUUUCAACUUUCAGUUUUCUGUGAAAAAUCAAGCCGAAGCUAUUGCGCUCACUCAGAAUCUCAAAAUAACAUGGCAAAGCAAGCACACAGAAAUAUACGAACUUAAGAAAACAAUUAGGAUUCUGAUAUUAUAUAGAGACUUCACCUUGUAGACUGAACCAAAACCACCCUUGCCUAGUUUGUUUCCUGGAGAGAAGUUGUUAGUGGCAACAACUAUCGUGCCAAGGUCAAAAAAUGUAAUGUCUGGAGGAUGGCUAUUUCCCCUGAGUUCAUGUGCCGCCAAAAUAUUUUUAUAGUAUAUAGAACCUCUAAUAGGGUCAAAUACUUUGUUUUCUGAUUUGUUCUUGAUUCCUGUCCUCAGAAAAGAUUGAAAACAAAAGAUUAAUCUGAGGGUCUUUAUGAUAGGUUUCAAUGGUGCAGUAAGAGCAGUUCAGUCUCUUACAAAACCUUGAAGUAACAUUCUUAUAAUGAUUGUAUAGAGAGCUUGUAACGUGAAUCUUGUGAAAGGUUAGAGCUACUCUUUAGAACAAAUACACGUGGAAGUCAAUCAUAAUGCAAAUGAGGUCUUUUUUCUCCUUACCUUUUCUUUUCCUCCUAAGCCACAAAUAAGCAAAGAAGAAAACAGUAAUCCAUGCCGAAGCAAUAGACAGUUUUAGAAUGUUCAGCUCCUUUCCAAGAAAAGCAUUUGAUCUUCUUGCAUUCUUAGCUGCAUCAGUGUGAAAAGAAAGGGGGGAAAUGGUAACUUGAAUUCGGCUUUGAAUCAAGAGGAUAAAAGAUAAGACGAGAAUAGUAACACAACCACAGCAAAAAUGGCAUUUCUGUUGGAGUGGGUUUAUUUUUCAUGGCAUAAUACUGUUCAGGUUUUACUAUAUGAUCACUAUUGUUGACAAAGUGUUUCACAUUUCAAAGGCUAAGCAGGAAGUCAUAUACCUAAUGUAGCCGCAUCAACACGAACAUACAGAUUGAAUCUUUCAUCUAUAUGAUCUACUGUGUCCCAUAAUUUUCCAUACCAUAGCAUACAUCCACUUGCUCUCCCAACUAUAUCUAUUCUUGCAUAUGCAGUGCAUGAGCAAUUCUUGCUGCAUUCUUGUUCACAACCUGUCCGACUUAUAUUCAUGUCCACCCAAAUUGCAGUUGAUGUAUCGGGAAGCUUAACAUUUUCCACUUUCACAAAUCCUUCGCCAUGCCCACACAGUAAAGAAGGAUCCUCCCGCUUCCUAAUACACCAUCCUGAUGCAUCUCUUAGAUGCCAAUCUCUGGGAGAUUUGGGUUGAUAACCAGGUAAACAAGAACACUCAAAUUUAUCAGGAUUGCUAGGGGUGCACUUACUUGAAGCACCACAAUAUGCAUACACAUCGCACCGGUGUUUAGGCACGGACCAAAACUCUUUCCACUGGCCAUCAUUAUUAUGCCACCUUAGCCACUUGACAAAUCCUGAAUAUUCCGCUACUCCUCUGAAGAUAAAAGAAGUAUCCAACAAAUGGUAGGAAAAAUAUAUCUCGUUUUGAUUGUUAACAUAUGUAUAAUUGUAUAUAUCCAAGAAUGUUGCCCAUGGCCAUGAGGUGCCUCGGCAAUAGGGUCUUGAGGCCUUGUAAAGAAAGAACUGUGGCAAGCCUGUUGUGUCUAACAUGAGUGAGUAAUCUCCAGUACCUGGAUCAUUUGCUGAUCUCCAUGAAGUUAGCAUCCAGUGCAGUCCUGUCUUCCGAUUCAACCCUAAUCUCAUCCCUGGUAGCUGCGUAUCAGUGGGAUAAUCAAAGCUCUGCCACACAAUUCUUUCACUUGUACCUUGGAGCAAUACCAAAUUUCCUGAAUCCAAGAGUUGAAGCACAAAAGCAUCUGAACCUUCCACUGUUAUGUUUGCAGACCAUACUAUAACUUUUUUAUGAGGAUCACUAUAAAGAACAAGGUUCCCAUAUUGAUUGAUUGAAAGAACACCUGAGGAGCCAGCGAUAGGAUAGUUCCGGUUUGCGACCCAUAUCACAGAUUUUUCUGAAAUUUUAUGAAACCAAAUUCCAAGAUAUCUAUUGGUAGAACUACCAGGGCUGAAAAACCCAAAUGCAAAUUCAUUACCCAUGGAGACAAGUAAGUUUCCUUCUUUGAAAAUUUGUUUUGAUGUAAUUUUAUCAAGGCAAGUGCAUGAUGUGAAUUGGAAGAGUAUAAUCAAAUGAUACAGGAACUUUACCGUAUCAGCCAUGCUGUUUUUUCAGCGAUUCCGUUUUCCCCCUCGGGCUAUAUUCUUGAAUGUUUGCUUUUCGAAGUUGUUCUUUUUUUUUCCUCAUCUCGCGCUUACUUGUUUGAUAUUUAAUAUUAAUUUUUCUUCAAAAUUUUCUUUGAACGAAAUUUCCUCACAUUAUCCUUGAAGUCGUCAAUUACUUAAUCUAUCAUAAUGGUUAGAAUUCUACCAGAUAUUAUUAUUCUGUGAUGUGAACUACGGUUUGUUCCCUUAAUAAUGUGACUUUGUUAAUAGUAUUGAGAAAACGAAGAUAUGAAAAAAAAAAAAAAAAAAAAAAAGAAAAGUAAUGGGACUGUCAAUUUCAAACUGACGUGAUGAUAUGAAAAGCAAAAAAAAAGACAUUUGAUAAAGUUCAGGUCAAACUUUUCCAAUGUUGCAGAAGGGUUGAGGUUAGCACAUAAACUGCAAAUUGUGACGGGAGUACAAUUCUGUUAAACCAAAUUAUGUUUUCUUGACCAGCGACGCAACAAUUUCUUUUUCUUUCUAAGAAAAUAAAUUUUUGAAUGGAAAGGAAAUCACAACAUCAUGCUGAAUGUGAAUUCGGAUUUUGAAUUUUUUUUCUUUCAAAUUAGAAACGCCUGUCUUAUUAUUAUUGUUUUUGGCCAACCGCACCGCGUGUUUCCAAAUUUAAUUGCUAAUCCCAAAUUCAUUAUCUCUUCUGCCUAAUUUAAUUGCUGUUUGGAAAAUGAUACGUCGUUUGCUAUAGUGAAAUGAAAAUUUUAGGUCUCCAGUAAAAAGAUUAGACGAUGUUGGUGAAUGGCAGGUUAUUGAAAUUCCGGUUUCAGUCGGCUGCUAACUACAACAGAAAACGUCUGUAAAUCAUUGUAGAACACCUAAACUCUUCAUUAAAAUUUACAUGGAAAGUCUUGAAAUCAUUAGCGAGCUACAAAAGCAGUGAUUGUAACCUCAUUUACAGAACUUGAUCUUUCCUCCCCUGCUCCAAAUGAGUUAUUGUUGCUGCUAGAUGCUAUAAAAAUGAAAGCUGGUUUUUUUGGACUAGGAAGAGCUGUUUCACUGCUCAACAUUAGAAUAACUUCAAACAUAGCGGGUCUGUCUAUAGCAUUUUCCUGAACACAUAACAGCCCAAUUUGUAUGCAUCUCAACACUUCAUGAGGAGGAUAUGAUCCCUCCAGUGAUGAAUCAACUAUCUUCAAUACAUCAUCUUUGCUCCAUAACUCCCAUACCUAUAACAGAGAAUGAACAGUUAAUGAUAUUACCUUGGAGCUAUUGUUUCUAAAAAUAUUCUUUAACUUACAUGUCCUAUCAAGCAGAAGGAAGAAUCUUCUUGUUUAAAGCCAUUGCUUUUCUUGCCACUUACAAUUUCCAACAGUACGACCCCAAAACUAAACACAUCAGAUUUUACGGAAAAAUUUCCAAGCACUGCAUACUCUGGUGACAUGUAGCCACUGCAUAAGAAAAAGUAUUGAAAGUGAACUUAAUACCUAUUCCAAUUCGUUCAUGGUAAUCAAGCACUGUAGUAUCUUGUACUUACUAGGUUCCAACUACUCUAUUCGUCUUCUCUUGAAUUUGGUCAGCUCUGAGUAUUCUAGCCAUGCCAAAAUCUGAAAUUUUUGGGUUCAUCUCAGCAUCUAGUAGAAUGUUGCUGCUUUUCAAAUCUCUGUGGAUAAUUCUCAACCUCGAGUCCUGAUGAAGAUAUAAGAUUCCUCGACCAAUUCCAGUUAUAAUAUUGAAACGUUUCUUCCAAUCUAGGACUGACCUUCUUGUUUGAUCUACAACAAGAUUUUCAAUUUUAUCAUUGUAAUAUCUGCACCUGAAUCAUAUUGCUAUGGAACAUAUGCAAUACGAGAACCAAUUCAACGCUGACCAAUGGUAUAAAAAGACUUGCCAAAAAGAAAUGCAUCCAAGCUUUUGUUUGGCAUAUAUUCAUAAAUUAACAUUUGUUGUCCUCCCUCGAUGCAGCACCCAAGAAGUUUCACAAGAUUCCUAUGUUGAAGCUUUGCAAUCAACAUGACUUCAUUUUUAAAUUCUUCUAUGCCUUGACCUGAACUCUUGGAUAGCCGUUUUACAGCAACCUCUUGUCCAUUAAUUAGCUGACCCUGAAAUCAUGUUUUCAACUUUCAAUUUUACUCGUUCAGAAUCUCAAAUUAACAUGCCAAAGCAAGCAGACAGAAAUACAUGAACUUAAGAAAACAAUUUAGAUUCUGACAUUAUAUAGAGACUCUACCUUGUACACUGAACCAAAACCACCCUUCCCUAGUUUGUUUCCUGAAGAGAAGUGGUUAGUGGCAGCCACUAUUGUGCCAAGGUCAAAAAAUGUUAUGUCUCGAGGAUGGCUAUUUCCACCGAGUUCAUGUGCCGCCAAAGUAUUUUUGUAGUAUAUGGAACCAUUAACAGGGUCAAAUACUUUGUUUUCUGAUUUGUUCUUCAUUCCUGUCCUCAAAACAAAUUGAAAACAUAAGCUUAAUCUAAUGUAUUUACAAUAGGUUUUAAUGGUGCAACAGGAGCAGUUCAUCGCUCAAAAAACCUUAACUAACGCUCUUAUACUGAUUGUAUAGAGAGCUUGUAAAGUGAAUUUUGUGAAAAAAGUUAGAUAUCUAAUUCUACUCUUUAGAAAAAAAAAACAUAAGGUCUUUUUUUCUUCCUUACCUUUUCUCCGCCUCCUAAGCCACAAAUAAGCAAAGAAGAAAACAGUAAUCCAUGCUGAAGCAAUAGACAGCGUUAGAAUAUUCAGCUCCUUUCCAAGAAAACCAUUUGAACUUCUCUCAUUCUGAGCUGCAUCAGUAUGAAAAGAAAGGGGGAAGAGGUAACUUGAAUUUGGGUUUGAAUUAAGAGGCUAACAGAUAAGACAAUACUUGUAACAGAAUCAAGGCAAAACCUAGCAUUUGUAUUGAAGUGGGUUUUACUCUAUGAUCACUAUUUUGAUAUAAGUAGUGGUGUUUCACAUUUCAGAGCUAAGCAAGAAUUCAUAUACCUAAUUCAACCGCAUCCACACGAACAUACAGAUUGAAUCUUUCGUCAACAUGAUCGAGUGUGUCCCAUAACUGUCCAUACCAUAGCAAACAUCCCCUUGCUCUUCCAACUAUAUCUAUUCCUGCAUAUGCAGAGCAUGAGCAAUUCCUGCUGCAUUCUUGUUCACAACCUUUACGACUCACAUUCAUGUUCACCCAAAUUGCAGUUGAAGUAUCAGGAAGCUUAGCAUUUUCCACUUUCACAAAUCCUUCACCAUGCCCACACAGUAAAGAAGGAUCCUCCCGCUUCCUAACACACCCUCCCGAUGCAUCUCUUAGAUGCCAAUCUCUUGGGGAUUUGGGUUGAUAACCAGGUAAACAAGAACACUCAAAUUUAUCAGGAUUGCUUGGGGUACACUUACUAGAAGCACCACAAUUUGCAUACACAUCACAUCGGUUUUCAGGGAUGGUCCAAAGCGUUUUCCACUGGCCAUGAUUAUUAUGCCACCUUAGCCACUUGACGAAUCCUGAAUGGUCCACUACUGCUCUCGUGAUAAAAGAGGUACCAACCAAAUGGUAGGAAUAAUAUAUUUCGUUUUGAUUGUUAACGUACGUAUAAUCAAAUAUAUCCAAGAAUGUUGCCCAUGGCCAUGGGGUGCUUCGGCAAUACGGUCUUGAGGCCUUGUAAAUAAAGAAUUGUGGUGAGCCUCUUGUGUCUAACACCAAUGAGUAAUCUCCACUACCUGGAUCGUUUGUUGAUCUCCAUGAAGUCAGCAUCCAGUGCAGUCCUGCCUUCUGAUUCAACCCUAAUCUCAUCCCUGGUAGCAGCGUAUCGGUGGGAUAAUCGAAGCUCUGCCACACAAUUCUUUUGCUUGUACCUUGGAGCAAUACCAGAUUUCCUGAAUCCAAGAGCUGAAGCACACAAGCAUCCGAACCUUCCACUGUUAAAUUUGCAGACCAUACUAGAACUUUUUGGUGAGGAUCACUGUAAAGAACAAGGUCUCCAUUUUGAUUGAUUGACAGAACACCUGAGGAGCCAACAAUAGGAUAGUUCCUGUUUGCUACCCAUAUCACAGAUUUUUCAGAAACUUUAUGAAACCAAAUUCCAAGAUAUCUAUUAGUAGAACUACCAGGACUGAAAAACCCAAAUGCAAAUUCAUUGCCCUUGGCGACGAGAAGGUUUCCUUCUUUGAAGGUUUGGUUUGAUGUAAUUGUAUCAAGACAAGUGCUUGAUGUGAAUUGGAAGAGCAUAAUCAAAUAACAAAGGAACUUUUCUGUAGCAGCCAUGGUGUUUUUCGGUGGUUACGUUACCCCCUUGGCCAUUUUCUUAAUGUUUGCUUCCAAAAGAAUUUUUUUCCUUGACUCCCUCAUUUUCUCGUUUGAUAUUGAUAUUUAAUAUGAUUUUUUAUUCAUAUUUUCCAUCAAAAGAAAUUUCCACACGUUAACCAUGAAGUUUGUAACCUGUCAUAAAGGUCAGAAGUCUACGCGUUUUAUUAAUAGAUAUUCUGUGCGCUUCUGUGAUGUCAACUGCGGUUUGUUCCCUUAAUGCGACUUUGUUAAUAAUAUUGAAAAAAAAAAAAUGGAAAAUUCAAACUGCAAUGUUCAUAAUGAUAUGAAAAGAGUCUGAGAUUUUGAUGGACUUCAGGUCAAACUUUUCCAAUAUUGCAGAAGGGUUGAUUUUAGGACAAACUGCAAUUUUCUAUUUUUGUUAAACCGAAUUGUCUUGUCUUAAUUAUACAAUUGAAAAUUUUCUUUUUCUUUCUAAGAAAAUAAAUUUUUGCAGGGAAAAGAAAGCGCAACAUAAUGAUGGAGAAUUCAGAUUUUAAAGUUUUCUUCCAAAAUUUACAAAAAGAGAAAAAACAACUAUCUUUUCUGAUUUUUUCUUUUUUUUUUUUUUUUUAUAAUUUUAUUCUUGGCCAACUAAACCCCACGUUUUGAAGUCCAGAAACCGGCACCACACGUGUUCCCAAAUUUAACUGCUAUUCGCAAAGCUUCAUAAGCUCGUCUGAAUAAUCUAAUUGCGGCUUGGAAAAUUAAGAGUAAAAUGAAAAUUUCAGGUCUUCUGUAAAAAGAUUAGAUGUCGGUGAACGACAAGUUAUUGAGAUUCCUAUUUAGUCGUUGAAAGAAAACGUCUAUAAAUCAUUGUAGUACAACCUAAAUUGCAUAUCUUCAAGUAAAAUUUACAUGCGAAUGAUGAUUCUAAAGUAUCCUUAACGAGCUACAAAAGUAGUGACUGUAACCUCAUUUACAGAACCUGAUCUUUCCUCCCCUACUCCAAAUGAGUUAGUGUUGCUGCUUGAUGCUCUAAAACUGUAAGCUGGAUGUUUUGGACUAGGAAGAGCUGUUUCACUGUUCAACAUUAGAAUUACUUCUGACAUAGUUGGUCUUUCUGCAGCAUCUUCUUGAACACAUAGCAGCCCAAUUUGAAUGCAUCUCAAGACUUCAUGAGGAGGAUAUGACCCCUUCAGUGAUGAAUCAACUACCUGCAGCGCAUUGUCUUCUAUCCAUAACUCCCACACCUGUACCAGAGGUGAACAGUUAAUAUAAAUUAUGUACCUUCUUGUUGGAGGUAUAGUUUCUGAAUAGUUUCUUUCACUUACAUGUCCUAUCAAGCAAAGGGAAGAUUUCACUGUUAUAAAGUCGUUGCUUUUCUUGCCAGUUAUAAUUUCCAACAUUAUGACUCCAAAACUGAAUACAUCAGAUUUUACUGAAAACUUACCGAACACUGCAUACUCUGGUGACAUAUAGCCACUGCAUAAGAAAAUUGUUCGAAGUAGCUUAAUGCAUAUUUCAAUCAUUAUUGGGUAAUAUUCAUAGUGAUCAACUAUUUUAAUAUCCUUACUUACUAGGUUCCAACCACUCUGUUUGUCUUCUCUUGAAUUUGAUCAGCUUUGAAUAUUCUAGCCAAGCCAAAAUCUGAAAUCUUUGGGUUCAUUUCCGCAUCUAAUAGUAUGUUGCUGCUUUUUAAAUCUCUAUGGAUAAUUCUCAAUCUUGAAUCUUGGUGAAGAUAUAAUAUUCCUCGAGCCAUUCCAAUUAUGAGAUUGAAGCGUUUCCUCCAGUCUAGUGCUGACUUUCCUCUUUGAUCUAAAACAAGAUUUUAGAUUUUUUAUUUAUUUAAUUUUUUGCACCUGAAUCAUAUAUGCUAUGAAACAUUAUAGAACCUUUCAACACUGACCAACGUAUGUAUAAAGAGACUUACCAAAAAGAAACGAGUCCAAGCUUUUAUUUGGGAGAUACUCAUAAAUUAACAUUUGCUCCCCUCCCUCACUGCAGCAUCCAACAAGUUUCACAAGAUUCCGAUGUUGAAGCUUCGCAAUCAACAUGACUUCAUUUUUAAAUUCUUCUAUGCCUUGCACUGAAUUUCUGGACAGUCGUUUUACAGCAACCUCUUGUCCAUUAAAUAGCUGACCCUGAAAUUACAUUAUCAACUGUUAACUUUAUCUGAAAAAUCAAGCCUAAGCUGGUUUUUUCAUGCAGAAAUCGGAAUCUUAAAAUAAUAGACAAAAGAAAGCACAUAGAAAAACAUGCGCUUAAGGAACUAAUCAUGAUUCAUUUGUAUAGAGAGUCUACCUUGUACACUGACCCAAAACCACCCUGGCCUAGUUUGUGAGCUGGAGAGAAGUUGUUAGUUGCAGUAACCAUGGUGUUAAGAUCGAAAAAGGUUAUGUCUGGAGGAUGACUACUCCCUCCAACUUCACAUGCCAAAAGAGUAUUUCUGUGGUAGAUUGAACCAUGGAUAGGAUCAAAUACUCCGUUUUCUGAUUUCUUCUUCUUCCCUGUUCUCCAGCAAAAUGAAAACAAAUAUAAGUGUUUUUUUUUCUUUUUAAGAUUUUGGAGUUUAAUUAAGAACAGUUCAGUUCCACGCAAAUUGCUAAGGUAUUAUUAUUAUUGUAAAUAUAUGUCCAUUGUCUUGUAACGAAACAUUUAAAGUAAAUUUUAUAACAAGUUAUAUAUCUGAAUCUAGUCAAUAGAACAAAUACACAAGGCACAACAAUGGACUAAGUUUUCUUUUUAUUCUUACUUGUUCUCCUUCUCUUGAGCCACAGAUAGGUUAAGAAGAAAAUGAUAAUCCAUGCUGAAGAAAGUGAUAGUACUAGAAUGUUCCGCUCCUUUCCAUGAGAAGCAGUUAAUUUUCUUUCAUUCUCAGCUGCAGCAAUAGGAGAAGACUAUAAUUUCACUCCAAAAAAAAGUAGGGGGAAUGGUAACUAUGAUCUGUGUUUUUAAUCAAGAGGCAAAAGAUAACGAAACAAAAACAGAAAAUUUGUGCAGAACUGGCUCUAUCUAAUAAAAAAGCAUUUCACAUCUCAAAAUAAGGACUAUUAAGGAAUUCAUAUACCUAAUUCAACUGCAUCGACACGAACAUAGAGAUCAAAUCCUUCACCUGCAUAAUCUACUGUGUCCCACAAUUGCCCAUACCAAGCCAAACAUCCACUUCCUUUGCCCGUGAUACCUAUGCUUGUAUAAGCUGAGCAGGCGCAGUUCUUCUUACACUCCUGUUCACAACGCAUAUGACUCGUAUUCAUGUCAACCCAAAUCGCAGCUGAAGUAUCAGGAAGCUUAACAUUUUCCACUUUCACAAAUCCUUCUCCUUGCCCACACAAUGAAGAAGGAUCUUCGCGCUUCAUGAUACAUCCUCCUGAUGCAUCUCUAAGGAGCCAGUCCCUUGGGAAUUUUGGUUCAUACCCAGGCAAACAAGAACACUCAAAUUUAUCAGGAUAGCUAGGAGAGCACUUGCUAAAAGCACCACAUUUUGCAUACAAAUCACACCGGGAUUCAGGUACAGACCAGAACUCUUUCCACUGGCCAUUAUGCUGCCUUAGCCACUUGGCAAAUCCUGAAUAGUGCACUACUCCUCUCAAGAUAAAAGAUGCAUCAAAUGUAUUGUAGGUAUAAUAUAUCUCGUUUUGAUUGUUAACAUAAGUAUAAUUGUAUAUAUCCAUAACUCUUCCCCAUGGCCAUGGAGUGCUUCGCCAAUAGGGUUUUGAAAACUUGUAAAGAAAGAACUGCGGUGAGCCUCUUGUGUCCAACUUAAGUGAGUAAUCUCCAAUACUUGGGUCAUUUGCUGAUCUCCAUGAAGUUAACAUCCAAGGGAAACCAGCCUUGCAAUUCAACCCAAUUCUCAUACCCGAUAGCCAGGUAUCGGUGGGGUAAUCAAAGCUCUGCCAUACAAUUCUUUCACUUCUACCUUGGAGCAAUACCAAAUUCCCCGAAUCCAAGAGCUGAAGCACAGGAGUAUCUGAUUCCGAACUUUCCACUGUUAAAUUUGUAGACCAUAAUGGAACCUUUUGAUCAGGAUCACUAUAAAGAACGAGGUUCCCAUUUUGAUUGAUUAAGAGAACACCGGAGGAGCCACUAAUAGGAUUGUUCCUGUUUGCUACCCAUACCACAGAUUUUUCUGAAACUUUAUAAAACCAAAUUCCGAGAUAUCUAUUGCUAGAACUGCCAGGGCUAAAAAACCCAAAUGCAAAUUCAUUACCCUUUGAGACUAGAAGGUUUCCUUCUCUGAAGGUCUGGUUUGCUGUAAUUUUAUCAAGACAACUGCAUGAUGUGAAUUGGAGGAGAAUCAUAAUAUACAGAAGCUUUUCGGUAGCAUCCAUGGUGCUUUUCAGUGGCUACACUACCCCCUUAGGCGACGUCCUUAAUAUAUAUAUAUUUUUUUUGAGGACGCUGUUAUCGUUCAAAGAGAGUUCCUUAAAUGCUCAGAAUGCCUCUGUUCUAUACUGAAAGAUUACUUCGGAUGAAUGGGGAAUUACGUCGCUCUUUGAUCUGCAGAAUAAGGCAUACGAGCUCUCUGUUUUAGAUUUAUGGCAGAGAUCUCUCCGCACCACGGAACCAAAUCACAUGGAUUCGAAGAUCUCCUUUUUCUUCCAAUAGCAUUUCCCAACUUUUCUUUCAAAAAAUAAAAAAGCAUUUCCCAACUUUGACUAUCAUCAUAUCCUGGUCAAGGCUCAACAACUCUUUUCUUGCCUUCACACGUUUGAUUGAAAAUUAUUAUUUUCUCUCAACGAAAUUCCCAAUAUCUUAAUUUUCGUUACUUGAUUGUCACUGCCAGAAGUGGAGGUUACUAUUCUACCAGGUAGACUAUAUUUGCUCAUGUGAUGUCAACUCGGUCUAUACAGCAGCAGAUUUGUACUUUGAAAAGGUCCGUUAAACGACAUCAACGACUGUCGUGCGGCUUCCGGUGUCCAAACAAAUACAAAGCCUGAUUUUAAGAAGUUAAUAGUUUGAUUUCAAUUGUGAAACUUAAGAAAACAAAUCACUGGUUCAAUUUACAAUUUUGAAAUUAAAACUGUCAAAAUCAAAUCCAACCUAAUUGAGAAUACAAACAUUUUUUUUAUAUAAUUAGGUUAGCCCAAAAAAAGUGUUACCAGUUACCAGUGAACGGCAGGUCGUCUCAUUUCAAUUUUGGUAGGGGCUUGUCGGGCCUCCCAUUCGUUACAUUAUUGGGCCUUUCUGCCGCGCGAAAAAAGAAAGAGUGCCCUGUCGGACAGAAAAGUUUCUCUUUGAAGUUUCCACUUUUUUCAACACACUAUUUCUUACUUCUAAGUUCCAAAUAAGGGGGAUUCUACCAAAUGGAUGCUUCUAAUUAUAAUCCAAACAAUUAAUUCCAGUAACUGAUGAUGAACAAUCAACAAGGAUUGAAAAAUAUCACACUUUACUCAAGUUCGGGAUCACUAACAGAAAGAACUGGUAGUGUGAGUAUGAUAAUAUUGACACGGUAGAAAUCAUUUCUCCUAAUUGAUUUGUUUCUGCUGAUUCUUAUAUUGAUUUUCCUGUUUAGGUUUUCGAUUGGUUCUCGGCCAAUUCAAUGAACUCUUCUUUCAAAACCAUUCUUGCACUCUUUGCAUGUAAGCUUUCAUCUCUCAUACUUCCCUCUCCUAUUUUUGUUCAUCUUUUCGUUUACGGCCUCUAUGAGAACAACAAGUAGGAAGGAAAGAUCCAUAAAACAAUGUCCAUUUUGUGCUGAAGCGUUGGUUAUAAGAUUACAUGUACAGAACAAAUGUAGUCUAAAGUUCUGAACUUCAAUGGUCUACGAAUUAGUCUCUCUCCUAGUGUGUUGGCCUUACGGGGAAAUUCUCUAAAAAUGAAAGCAGGUUGUUUUGGACUAGGAAGAGUUGUUUCACUGCCCAACAUUAGAGCAACUUCCAACAUCUUUGGCUUUCAUGAGGAAGAUAUGAUCCCUCAAGUGUUGGAUCAACUAUCUCCAAUACAUUAUCUUCUGCUAUACGACAGGGUAUUGAAAUUCAUGUUCAGUCGUUUGCUAGCUACGACUGGAAAUGUCUGUAAAUUAUUGUAGAACAACUGAACUCUUCAUUAAAAUUUACAUGGAAAGUCUCAAAAUCCUCAGCGAGCUACAAAAGUAGUGAUUGUAACCUCAUUUACAGAACUUGAUCUUUCCUCCCCUACUUCAAAUGAGUUAGCGUUGCUGCUAGAUGCUCUAAAAACGUAAGCUGGUUGUUUUGGCAUAGGAAGAGUUGUUUCACUGCCCAACAUUAGAGCAACUUCCAACAUUGUUGGCCUGUCCAUAGCAUUUUCUUGAACACAUAACAAUCCAAUUUGAAUGCAUCUCAAGACUUCAUGAGGAGGAUAUGAUCCCUCAAGUGUUGGAUCAACUAUCUCCAAUACUUUAUCUUCUCUCCAUAACUUCCACACCUGUACCAGAAGUGAACAGUUAAUAUAAAUUAUGUAGCUUUGAAUUGGAGCUAUAGUAUUUGAAGGGUUUCUUUCACUUACAUGUCCUAUCAAGCAAAAGAAAAAUUCCUUUUGUUCGAAGUCAUUGCUUUUCUUGCCACUUAUAAUUUCCAACAGUAUGACCCCAAAACUAAACACAUCAGAUUUUACUGAAAACUUUCCAAACACUGCAUACUCUGGCGACAUAUAGCCACUGCAUAUAACAAUUAUUGAAAGUAGAUUUAAUUAUCUGUCUCAAUUUAUUAUUAGGUAUUUCAUAGUGAUCGAGUAUUGUAACACCUUAUACUUACUAGGUCCCGACCACUCUAUUUGUCUUCUCUUGAAUUUGAUCAGUUUUGAAUAUUCUAGCCAUGCCAAAAUCUGAAAUUUUUGCAUUCAUCUCUGCAUCUAAUAGUAUAUUGCUGCUCUUUAAAUCUCUAUGGAUAACUCUCAAUCUUGAAUCUUGAUGGAGAUAUAAGAUUCCUCGAGCUACCCCAGUUAUAAUAUUGAAGCGUUUCCUCCAAUCUAGCUCUGGCCUCCUUGUUUGAUCUACAACAAGAUUUUAGAUUUUUUUUUUUAUCAAUUGAAUUUUUGCACAUUACUUAUAGAUGUUAUGAAACAUUAGAAUUAUAGUUUCAGUUCAACAUUGAGAAAUGGAUGCAUAAAACUUACCAAAAAGAAAUGAGUCCAAACUUUUAUUUGGCAAAUAUUCAUAAAUUAACAUUUGUUCUCCUCCCUCAAUGCAGCAUCCCAGAAGUUUCACAAGAUUCCUAUGUUGAAGCUUUGC